GGUUGCGAUCAUACAAGCACUAAUGCACCGGAUCCCAUCAGAACUCCGCAUUCAAGCGUGCUUGUGCGAGAGUAGUACUAGGAUGGGUGACCCCUUGGGAAGUCCUCGUGUUGCAACCCCCGUUUGUGAAAGGAAGGCUUUGACAAAUGUGCGCGCGCGGACGGCGUCCCCGAGGUGCGUGACGUAGCCCACACAUGAGGGCAUAGGUGCGAAUGGGAUCAAGGCGUAGAAUUUUAUAAAAGAAUAAGGAGAAGGUAUUCUUUCUCGGUUGAGAUCAUAACAGCACUAAUGCACCGGAUCCUAUCAGAACUCCGCAGUCAAGUGUGCUUGGGCGAGAUUUGUACUAGGAUCGGUGACCCCCUGGGAAGUCCUCGUGUUGCAACCC
rnacentral:lncRNA from 1 species